UCAUCUGGGUGCUCUCCUCUCUGUAAGAACUUGCACUGAUUUUGUAAUAUUGCUUGCAGGUGGCCUAUUUUUAGAUAUAGUUCCCGCCUAUCCUGCUUUCUAUAGCACAUGGUCUCCUAUUCACAUACUAGACCGUGUAAUGUGAGUAAAGUCUGCCUCGCUCUAAGGUUCUGACCGCAGAGGGGAUUUUUUUUUCCUUCCUAGUCUCCGAGCUUUCAGAUUGGGGCUCAUUGGUGCUACAGUCACGUGGUUCUCCUCCGCGAAGGCUUUGCCCUCUGCAGCUCCUCGGCACAGAGAGCGAUGCUGAGGCUGAGAUGUGAGAUGCAACUUAGAGGGUCCCGCGCAUAGAGGCAAAGUUAUGGCACGAUCAUCCCCGGAGAAAAACGUCCCGCAGGAGUCUCUCUGUGCCGAGAAGUCCCUCAAUGGUGACGCGCACGUCUUUCAUGGGCGCAGAAGCUCUGAGCGAGAAAACCCCAAAUUACGCGUCAAAACAAACUAGUUCAAAGCGGGACAGAAGCAAGUCGACGGCAGGGGGAAAUCAAAGCGGUGCUGAGUUGAAGUGAGCGGCGCAAUGCAACCGGCCUGCGAAGUGAAGAUAAGGACUGGCUUGCAGCUACACAAGGUUAUGAAGCUGAUCUUGGUGCAGCUGUAGUUCCAAGUGCCCUUCAAUCAUUCUGAGGGUGGUACUCAGAAACUAGGACUUCUGAGAUUUAUCUUCACCUACAGUGCCUUCAGGGCUUCUACCUACAAAACA